UGUGGGGAAGAAUAGUGUCAAGGGAAAAACAAGUGUCAGAUGUUUAUAUGAUAUGAUAACUCUUAGACAAAUCUUAACCUUUAGCAUCCACCACUAACAUGGCUAUUUUAAGCGUCCAAAAACAUUGAUCAUCUGAACCCCGGACUUUGCGCUUUCCUACGCCGUAAAAAAUUGAUUCAGGAUUUCGGAGUUUAAGUGUGCUUUAGGUUUAGAUAGCCCAACAAUUAUUAUUGUUUGCAUUUCUCAGGUUAGGUAAAGCUUCUUUUCACAAAGCAAUAACGGCUGUGUAAUGAAAUUGAAAGAUGAAAAAUAACGAUGGAAACGGAUGCAUUGCAAUAUUAAAAUUAGAGGAGCUGUAAGAAAGAAACGAA